rnacentral:misc_RNA from 1 species
AAUUCGCGUCACGAAUUCAGUUCAGUUCAACCAGUGGCACCAGUGGCACGGAACUAUCGGGACGUGUAGUUGGCGAGAAUUGUUGCAAACGUGGAAAUACCGGCCUUAGCGACGUUGUACCUGUUCCUGUAGGCCAGAAAUGACACUUGCACAAAUAUUGAGGGAGAAGAUCCCUCGCCGAGGCAUCCUCGGAGCUAUGAUGUUUCUGGCUUGUAUGUUUUCUUACUUUAUACGGACAAACCUUUCCAUUAUCAUCGUCGCCAUGGUUAAAAAUGGGACAGACACACGUGAAGAAAAUGGGACAGACACACGUGAAGAAAAUGGGACACGCACAGAUGAUUUCGGUGAGCGAUACGAGUGGAACGAAAUCGUUCAGGGAGCUGUACUAAUGGCUUACUACUGCGGCGUAGUUCCGGCUAGUAUUCCAGCCGGUAUUUUAGCAGAAAAAUUUGGAGGUUCCAAGGUUGUUGCAUUGGCGACUCUCAUUCCUGCUCUACUGAACCUGCUUAUGCCAUGGGCGUCUAGUGUUCACUACAUGUUCGCUAUCGUCCUGCGGUUCCUGAUGGGAUUCUUCGGGAGUGCUGUGUAUCCGGCUCUACACGCAAUGAUCGCCAGGUGGGUGCCACCCAACGAGAAGGGAAUGUUCGUAUGGGCUAUGCAAGGUGGACCCUUCGGUACCGUAGUCACGUUUGUUCUCUGCAGUCAAGUGAUCGACACAUAUGGGUGGGUGGCUGCGUACUACGUGACCAGCGGACUCAUUCUUGUAUUUUUCGCCCUCUGGGUAUACCUGAUACAUGACACACCCGACCAGCAUCCGAGUAUCACAGAACGAGAAAAGGAAUAUAUUAAGAAACAAAUUGGAACGAGCGUCAGCAAGCAAAAAGUAAAACUUCCUGUUGUCGCUGUCAUCACAUCGCUUCCAUUCUUGGUCCUACUCUGGGCUCACUUUGCUAACAUGUGGGGAAUCUACUUCAUAUCCACAAACGGACCCAAGUAUACGCUCCAGGUUCUUGGGUUCAAUAUGAAAUCCGGUGGCUUUAUGACUGGACUGCCUUACAUUGCCAGACUUGGGGCCGGUGUUUUGUUUGCCGCUGCCGGAGACUACUUACUGAGAACCAAGUACCUGACGGUCGUGUGGUUGCGCAAGAUUUUCAUGAUUCCCUCUCACAUGGGCCCAGCUUUGUGUUUACUCGGUAUGACCUACGCGGGAAAGGACAAAUUCUGGGGAAUUUCUAUGAUGAUACUGGCCUUGGCCUUCAACGGUGCCGCCUGCCAGACAAGUCUCCAAAAUCACCAAGAUCUGUCACCGAACUUCGCGGGAUCCCUUUACGGUGUAAUGAACACGAUUGGCAGCUUUCCAGGUUUCAUUAUUCCUGCGGUUGUCGGUGUUCUGACUAAUGAGCAUAACAGCGUUGAAACAUGGCGUCCCAUGUUUUGGAUUUCCGCAAUUGUUUUCAUGUCCGCAACCGUCUUGUUUUGGCUCUUUGGCUCGGCGAAUAUUCAGCCGUGGAACGACAUAAGCAACGGAGGAGUUGAAGGAGCUAUUUCUACCAUCCCCGACGAAGAGAUGAAAAUGACAAUGGACACCAAAAAGGCUCAGGUCAUGUCCGAUGAUGAAGAGGAAGAGAAUGCCCGUAUUUAGUCUUACAUUACGACGUAAAAAGAAUAGAAGUGGUCCCACUAAUCACCUCGACUGUCAAUGAGGAUUUUUCCAAUUGUUGAUUGUCAAGGUAGAAAUGAACUCGCCUGCAUUCGGUGAUGAUUACGCCAUUCCUCAAAAGUUCGACGGCCCGCCGGGGAUACGAGGAUGCACGGGGGAUUUAAUAAAUUCCAGGCCAUCUGCUUUUCCAUCAGGAUACUUGAGCUACGGUCCAAAUUUGUCCCUGUUACGAUCUGGUGCCGGCCACGUACGACCAGUCCCUUGCCGUAUGCUAUCUCGUUCAAAGCUUCGCCAACGCCGAAAGCAUCAUCAUUCAAUAUCCUGCGAUGUAGCUAUAGGAUCACCGCGCAUAUAGCAGGUAUUAUACUCGUACUUUAAAUAUACCCAACGUACGGAACCGUAUUGAAAAUAGCCAAAUAUAUUCUGUGCAUUUGGUAUUUACCAUCAAUUCCACUUGGCCUUCGUUGAGACUGGUGCCACCUUGAGCUCGGUCGUUCAGGACGCUGAUUCUCAAUUUAUUUAUUCUAUCCUUGAUAGUGAUUUUGGCGGUGAUAGGGUAAUAGUUACCCGCAACAGGUUCGGCGAGCUGCAACGCCCACGUGGGACGGAAAUUUUUCUCGCGUCUUAACAUUUCGCGACCGUUGCUGUCGGUAUAAAACACGUUUCCCGUGGCCAGGUUGCUAGAGUAUCUUGUUAUGAUUUCCUUGCCAAUUUUAUCACUAGGAAAGUAAGCAAAUAUCAUUAACGGUACCAUAAUUAUAUCGAAUCCAAAUGGUCGAUAAUCGGUUAUAUGUAUAUAAACGGGUUAUAAAGCAUUUAAUUUAUAUUUAUCGAGAUUUCAGCUAAUACAGCUGCAGGUUUGUGCAGAACGAUGAUAUACGCGUACCAUUUUUAGAUAACUCAAAAAAUUGACUACAAACCGUGGAAAUCUGGUGAACUCGAAUAAGUUGG